rnacentral:rRNA from 1 species
AUUGAACGCUAGCGGGAUGCCUUACACAUGCAAGUCGAACGGAGUGGCGAACGGGUGAGUAAUGUAUCGGAACGAUCCCAGUAGCGGGGGAUAACUACGCGAAAGCGUAGCUAAUACCGCAUACUAUUGGAGCGGCCGAUAUCGGAUUGGCUGGUUGGUGGGGUAACGGCUCACACAGGCGACGAGCCGUAGCUGGUUUGAGAGGACGACUAGCCACACUGGGACUGAGACACGGCCCAGAAUCCGACGGGAGGCAGGAGGGGGGCAUUUUGGACAAUGGGGGAUACCCUGAUCCAGCCAUCCGGCGUGGGCGAUGAAGGCCUUCGGGUUGUAAAGCACUUUUGGCAGGAAAGCGGUACCUGCAGAAUAAGCACCGGCUAACUACGUGCCAGCAGCGGCGGUAAUAC